AUCCAGUUGAAGAGUCUUGCAUAGGACGAAAUGCGCGUUAUCCUGGAU
rnacentral:hammerhead_ribozyme from 1 species